rnacentral:rRNA from 1 species
UACGUAGGUGGCAAGCGUUAUCCGGAAUUACUGGGCGUAAAGCGCACGCAGGCGGUCUUUUAAGUUUGACGUGAAAGCUCUCGGCUUAACUGGGAGAGGUCGUUGAAGACUGGAAGGCUUGAGGCAAUGAGAGGGUGUAGAAUUCCCGGUGUAGUGGUGGAAUGCGUAGAUAUCGGGGGGAAUACCAGUGGCGAAAGCGGCACCCUAGCGUUAGCCUGACGCUCAUGUGCGAAAGCGUGGGGAGCGA